CGCCCAGCACUAGUAUCUAUGGUGCCAAUGUUCCACAUUUUACUCUUAAUGAUCAGACGGGGACAAGUCAUGACUUGUUCUCAACCCCUUAAAGUCUUGGUGAUGUCUCAGUUACAGUAACCUCUGAUUUUGGUCUCAGCUUUGGUGGUCUCAAAAACACUCCUGACAAGAGCUGACAGCCCUGCUGAGCUCGCACACUUCCGGCUCUCAUGGGAGGCAAAGUGAUUACUGGACUUAAAUGAAGAUCAAUGGACCUGAUGGGAGGCUUUCACCAUCAUCCAGAGUGCAUGUACUGUAUCUCUACGGCUAUUUCUCCUUCUGCUGCAAGUUUUAGUGUCUGUAUGCAUUGGGUCUUUAUACAUAGAAAUAUUAAGUGUUUCCAGGACCUCCAAGUUUGUAGGUCCUGGGAGUAAAAUGUACCAUUGCAUAGUAUAACAGUCUUAUUAAUCACCAUUUUAUUUGUAUUUGGUGACAAUAAAGUUUUAAAAAAUUAAAAAAUGUGACUGUCACCAAAAACAGGUGUGGCUUAGGAACUCGUACGACUUUAAGUUUGUUCUUGGACCACAAGCAGAAAAGAGCUAGAACUAAUCAUCAUGAUCUCCAAUAAAGUGUCAGCAACCUGA